rnacentral:rRNA from 1 species
UACGGAGGGUGCAAGCGUUAAUCGGAAUUACUGGGCGUAAAGCGCGCGUAGGUGGCUUGAUAAGCCGGUUGUGAAAGCCCCGGGCUCAACCUGGGAACGGCAUCCGGAACUGUCAGGCUAGAGUGCAGGAGAGGAAGGUAGAAUUCCCGGUGUAGCGGUGAAAUGCGUAGAGAUCGGGAGGAAUACCAGUGGCGAAGGCGGCCUCCUGGGCCUGCACUGACGCUGAGGCGCGAAAGCGUGGGGAGCAAACAGG